UACGGAGGGGGCUAGCGUUGUUCGGAAUUACUGGGCGUAAAGCGCGCGUAGGCGGCUUUUUAAGUCAGAGGUGAAAUCCCGGGGCUCAACCCCGGAACUGCCUUUGAAACUGGGAAGCUAGAAUCUUGGAGAGGCGAGUGGAAUUCCGAGUGUAGAGGUGAAAUUCGUAGAUAUUCGGAAGAACACCAGUGGCGAAGGCGACUCGCUGGACAAGUAUUGACGCUGAGGUGCGAAAGCGUGGGGAGCAAACAGG
rnacentral:rRNA from 1 species